AGUGAACGCUGGCGGUAGGCCUAACACAUGCAAGUCGAACGGCAGCACAGUAAGAGCUUGCUCUUACGGGUGGCGAGUGGCGGACGGGUGAGGAAUACAUCGGAAUCUACUUUUUCGUGGGGGAUAACGUAGGGAAACUUACGCUAAUACCGCAUACGACCUACGGGUGAAAGCAGGGGAUCUUCGGACCUUGCGCGAUUGAAUGAGCCGAUGUCGGAUUAGCUAGUUGGCGGGGUAAAGGCCCACCAAGGCGACGAUCCGUAGCUGGUCUGAGAGGAUGGUCAGCCACACUGGAACUGAGACACGGUCCAGGCUCCUACGGGAGGCAGCAGUGGGGAAUAUUGGGCAAUGGGCGCAAGCCUGGUCCAGCCAUACCGCGUGGGUGAAGAAGGCCUUCGGGUUGUAAAGCCCUUUUGUUGGGAAAGAAAAGCAGCAGGUUAAUACCCCGCUGUUCUGACGGUACCCAAAGAAUAAGCACCGGCUAACUUCGUG
rnacentral:rRNA from 1 species